rnacentral:rRNA from 1 species
AACGAACGCUGGCGGCGUGCUUAACACAUGCAAGUCGAACGGAGAGGCCUGCUUUCCCUUGUGGAUUGCGGGUACUCGAGUGGCGAACGGGUGAGUAACACGUGAGUGAUCUGCCCCCAACUUGGGUAUAAGCCUGGGAAACUGGGUCUAAUUCCCGAUAGGACUGCAGGGUGGUGCCUGUGGUGGAAAACGAUUUUCUAGUGGUUGGGGAUGAGCUCGCGGCCUAUCAGCUUGUUGGUGGGGUAAUGGCCUACCAAGGCGGCGACGGGUAGCCGGCCUGAGAGGGUGGACGGCCACAUUGGGACUGAGAUACGGCCCAGACUCCUACGGGAGGCAGCAGUGGGGAAUAUUGCACAAUGGGCGGAAGCCUGAUGCAGCGACGCCGCGUGGGGGAUGACGGCCUUCGGGUUGUAAACUCCUUUCGACCGCGAGGAAGCCACCUGGUUGGAAGGGUGGUGACGGUAGUGGUAGAAGAAGCACCGGCUAACUACGUG